rnacentral:lncRNA from 1 species
AAGAAAUUCAAAAUGGCGGCCGGCUCAGGACUGCUGCUGGAGUGGCAGGAACAGAAAGCAACUCGCGAGGGGGCCGGGAGGCGGCACGCAGAGAUCCAGAACCCAGAAAGAAGCUGGUGGUGAUCUGCUGAGGUGUGUCGCACACUGGGGUCGCAGGCCCCUCUACAGCCGCACCAGGCCACUCGAUGGCGUGGAGAAGACCUGAGACCCUCAGAGCGACGCCAGCAUUAGCUGUAGCCCUGGGUCUGCAGGUUACACAGACCCCACCCGCCAACAGAAGUGGAGAAUC